rnacentral:rRNA from 1 species
UUAAGCGACUAAGCGUACACGGUGGAUGCCCUGGCAGUCAGAGGCGAUGAAGGACGUGCUAAUCUGCGAAAAGCGUCGGUAAGGUGAUAUGAACCGUUACAGCCGGCGAUGUCCGAAUGGGGAAACCCAGUGCAAUUCGUUGCACUAUCGUUAACUGAAUACAUAGGUUAACGAGGCGAACCGGGGGAACUGAAACAUCUAAGUACCCCGAGGAAAAGAAAUCAACCGAGAUUCCCCCAGUAGCGGCGAGCGAACGGGGAGCAGCCCAGAGUCUGAAUCAGCUUGUGUGUUAGUGGAACGGUCUGGAAAGUCCGACGGUACAGGGUGAUAGUCCCGUACACCAAAAUGCACAGGCUGUGAACUCGAAGAGUAGGGCGGGACACGUGGUAUCCUGUCUGAAUAUGGGGGGACCAUCCUCCAAGGCUAAAUACUCCUGACUGACCGAUAGUGAACCAGUACCGUGAGGGAAAGGCGAAAAGAACCCCGGCGAGGGGAGUGAAAAAGAACCUGAAACCGUGUACGUACAAGCAGUGGGAGCACCUUCGGGUGUGACUGCGUACCUUUUGUAUAAUGGGUCAGCGACUUAUAUUCUGUAGCAAGGUUAACCGUAUAGGGGAGCCGCAGGGAAACCGAGUCUUAACUGGGCGUUAAGUUGCAGGGUAUAGACCCGAAACCCGGUGAUCUAGCCAUGGGCAGGUUGAAGGUUGGGUAACACUAACUGGAGGACCGAACCGACUAAUGUUGAAAAAUUAGCGGAUGACUUGUGGCUGGGGGUGAAAGGCCAAUCAAACCGGGAGAUAGCUGGUUCUCCCCGAAAGCUAUUUAGGUAGCGCCUCGUGAACUCAUCUUCGGGGGUAGAGCACUGUUUCGGCUAGGGGGUCAUCCCGACUUACCAACCCGAUGCAAACUACGAAUACCGAAGAAUGUUAUCACGGGAGACACACGGCGGGUGCUAACGUCCGUCGUGAAGAGGGAAACAACCCAGACCGCCAGCUAAGGUCCCAAAGUCAUGGUUAAGUGGGAAACGAUGUGGGAAGGCACAGACAGCCAGGAUGUUGGCUUAGAAGCAGCCAUCAUUUAAAGAAAGCGUAAUAGCUCACUGGUCGAGUCGGCCUGCGCGGAAGAUGUAACGGGGCUAAACCAUGCACCGAAGCUGCGGCAGCGACACUAUGUGUUGUUGGGUAGGGGAGCGUUCUGUAAGCCUGCGAAGGUGACCUGUGAGGGUUGCUGGAGGUAUCAGAAGUGCGAAUGCUGACAUAAGUAACGAUAAAGCGGGUGAAAAGCCCGCUCGCCGGAAGACCAAGGGUUCCUGUCCAACGUUAAUCGGGGCAGGGUGAGUCGACCCCUAAGGCGAGGCCGAAAGGCGUAGUCGAUGGGAAACAGGUUAAUAUUCCUGUACUUGGUGUUACUGCGAAGGGGGGACGGAGAAGGCUAUGUUAGCCGGGCGACGGUUGUCCCGGUUUAAGCAUGUAGGCUGAUUGUCCAGGCAAAUCCGGAUAAUCAAGGCUGAGGUGUGAUGACGAGGCACUACGGUGCUGAAGUAACAAAUGCCCUGCUUCCAGGAAAAGCCUCUAAGCAUCAGGUAACAUCAAAUCGUACCCCAAACCGACACAGGUGGUCAGGUAGAGAAUACCAAGGCGCUUGAGAGAACUCGGGUGAAGGAACUAGGCAAAAUGGUGCCGUAACUUCGGGAGAAGGCACGCUGGUGUGUAGGUGAAGUCCCUGCGGAUGGAGCUGAGACCAGUCGAAGAUACCAGCUGGCUGCAACUGUUUAUUAAAAACACAGCACUGUGCAAACACGAAAGUGGACGUAUACGGUGUGACGCCUGCCCGGUGCCGGAAGGUUAAUUGAUGGGGUUAUCCGUAAGGAGAAGCUCUUGAUCGAAGCCCCGGUAAACGGCGGCCGUAACUAUAACGGUCCUAAGGUAGCGAAAUUCCUUGUCGGGUAAGUUCCGACCUGCACGAAUGGCGUAAUGAUGGCCAGGCUGUCUCCACCCGAGACUCAGUGAAAUUGAACUCGCUGUGAAGAUGCAGUGUACCCGCGGCAAGACGGAAAGACCCCGUGAACCUUUACUAUAGCUUGACACUGAACAUUGAGCCUUGAUGUGUAGGAUAGGUGGGAGGCUUUGAAGCGUGGACGCCAGUCUGCGUGGAGCCAACCUUGAAAUACCACCCUUUAAUGUUUGAUGUUCUAACGUUGGCCCCUGACCGGGGUUGCGGACAGUGUCUGGUGGGUAGUUUGACUGGGGCGGUCUCCUCCCAAAGCGUAACGGAGGAGCACGAAGGUUAGCUAAUCCUGGUCGGACAUCAGGAGGUUAGUGCAAUGGCAUAAGCUAGCUUGACUGCGAGCGUGACGGCGCGAGCAGGUGCGAAAGCAGGUCAUAGUGAUCCGGUGGUUCUGAAUGGAAGGGCCAUCGCUCAACGGAUAAAAGGUACUCCGGGGAUAACAGGCUGAUACCGCCCAAGAGUUCAUAUCGACGGCGGUGUUUGGCACCUCGAUGUCGGCUCAUCACAUCCUGGGGCUGAAGUAGGUCCCAAGGGUAUGGCUGUUCGCCAUUUAAAGUGGUACGCGAGCUGGGUUUAGAACGUCGUGAGACAGUUCGGUCCCUAUCUGCCGUGGGCGCUGGAGAAUUGAGGGGGGGCUGCUCCUAGUACGAGAGGACCGGAGUGGACGCAUCACUGGUGUUCGGGUUGUCAUGCCAAUGGCACUGCCCGGUAGCUAAAUGCGGAAGAGAUAAGUGCUGAAAGCAUCUAAGCACGAAACUUGCCCCGAGAUGAGUUCUCCCUGAGACUUUAAGUCUCCUGAAGGAACGUUGAAGACGACGACGUUGAUAGGCCGGGUGUGUAAGCGCAGCGAUGCGUUGAGCUAACCGGUACUAAUGAACCGUGAGGCUUAACCUU